rnacentral:rRNA from 1 species
UACGUAGGUCCCGAGCGUUAUCCGGAUUUAUUGGGCGUAAAGCGAGCGCAGGCGGUUAGAUAAGUCUGAAGUUAAAGGCUGUGGCUUAACCAUAGUACGCUUUGGAAACUGUUUAACUUGAGUGCAGAAGCGGAGAGUGGAAUUCCAUGUGUAGCGGUGAAAUGCGUAGAUAUAUGGAGGAACACCGGUGGCGAAAGCGGCUCUCUGGUCUGUAACUGACGCUGAGGCUCGAAAGCGUGGGGAGCAAACAGGAUUAGAUAC